rnacentral:rRNA from 1 species
AUUGAACGCUGGCGGCAUGCCUUACACAUGCAAGUCGAACGGCAGCACGGGAGCAAUCCUGGUGGCGAGUGGCGAACGGGUGAGUAAAGUAUCGGAACGUGCCCAGUCGUGGGGGAUAACGUAGCGAAAGUUACGCUAAUACCGCAUACGAUCUAUGGAUGAAAGCGUGGGAUCGCAAGACCUCGCGCGAUUGGAGCGGCCGAUAUCAGAUUAGGUAGUUGGUGGGGUAAAGGCUCACCAAGCCGACGAUCUGUAGCUGGUCUGAGAGGACGACCGGCCACACUGGGACUGAGACACGGCCCAGACUCCUACGGGAGGCAGCAGUGGGGAAUUUUGGACAAUGGGCGAAAGCCUGAUCCAGCCAUGCCGCGUGCAGGAUGAAGGCCUUCGGGUUGUAAACUGCUUUUGUACGGAACGAAAAGGUUUGGCCUAAUAAGCUGAGCUCAUGACGGUACCGUAAGAAUAAGCACCGGCUAACUACGUGCCAGCAGCCGCCGUAA